rnacentral:rRNA from 1 species
AAAUGAAUAGACGGGGGCCCGCACAAGCGGUGGAGCAUGUGGUUUAAUUCGAAGCAACGCGAAGAACCUUACCAAGGCUUGACAUGGAGACGAUCGCGUUAGAGAUAACGUUUCCCUUCGGGGCGUCUCACACAGGUGGUGCAUGGUUGUCGUCAGCUCGUGUCGUGAGAUGUUGGGUUAAGUCCCGCAACGAGCGCAACCCUUAUGUUUAGUAGCCAUCGGGUUAAGCCGGGCACACUAGAGAGACUGCCGUGGAUAACACGGAGGAAGGUGGGGACGACGUCAAAUCAUCAUGCCCCUUAUGUCUUGGGCUACACACGUGCUACAAUGGCUGAUACAAAGUGAAGCGACCCCGCGAGGGUAAGCCAACCACAAAAAAACAGCCCCAGUUCGGAUUGCAGGCUGCAACCCGCCUGCAUGAAGUUGGAAUCGCUAGUAAUCGCGAAUCAGAAUGUCGCGGUGAAUACGUUCCCGGGCCUUGUACACACCGCCCGU